rnacentral:rRNA from 1 species
AUUGAACGCUGGCGGCAGGCCUAACACAUGCAAGUCGAGCGAGCGGCGGACGGGUGAGUAAUGUAUGGGGACUGCCCGAUAGAGGGGGAUAACUACUGGAAACGGUGGCUAAUACCGCAAACUGUCGGAUAACCCAUAUGGGAUUAGCUAGUAGGUAAGGUAAUGGCUUACCUAGGCGACGAUCCCUAGCUGGGCUGAGAGGAUGAUCAGCACCACUGGGACUGAGUCUCGGUCCAUAUUCUUACGGAGGCAGAGGUGGGGAAUAUUGCACAAUGGCCGAAUGACUGAUGCAGCCAUGCCGUGUAUAGAAAGAGGGCCCUAGGGUUGUAAACGUUUUUCAGUCGGUAGGGGUUAACGACAGAAGAAGCACCUGCUAACUCGGUACGAGCAGCCGCGGUAAUUC